GGAGGGCUAGACCUAAUCGGCAAGGCAGCGGCCUUGAAAGCCGCCGGGCGAAAGCCCUUGGGGGUUCGAAUCCCCCGCCCUCCGCCA
rnacentral:tRNA from 1 species